AUAUCUCUCCUUAAACACUACUGUUUAAUCUACAAACUGAUUCUUCUGAGCUCUGAAUCUGAGAAUGGAAAAACAGGAAUAUGCCACAGAAGUGCCCUCUGAAAUGUUUCAGAGACAAGCAUCUACUCAAAUACUAGGUGCAUUGGUAAUUAUUCACUUUUGCCACAUUACAGCUGCCUUUUUAAAAAAAAAUAUUGUUGCCCCUUUCCCAUUUGGCUCUUUACAUGCAGACUUGUUUCUUCAGUGCUUCUAAGUCUGCCUUUUACUUGAGAACUUCUCAACUUCUAUGGCUUCUUGUACAACUAGCACAAAUGCAUGAUGAUAGCUAAGAGUACUUUAAAGUACUGUGAAUAGAUUUUGUUCUUUGUGGGAUGAAUUCACAGGGACAAUAGUAGAAUCUAUGGUGGGGACAGGCUGUGGUAUGAAUUCACAGGGACAAUAGUAGAAUCUGUGGUGGGGACAGGCUGUGGUAUUCUCAAAAGGAAUAGGAAAUCUGCACUAUGUCACUUGAACUGUUCUAGCAGCAGAGGCAGAAACUUGUUUCUUUCCUUUGCAUAGCUUGCAGGCUUGACAGCCGGUGGACUAUGAAGUGUCUUCUCCAGAUUGUUUUCAUCUAAGAUCCCUCCCUUCCUCAGGGUGGUUUUGCUUCUGAAAGUGUAAAUUUGUUUACCAGUGUACAAAAUGCAAGAAAACCAGUCAUGCUAAAAUCUGGAUUUGUAGUUCUGUUUUGCUCCCUGGUAACAGUGUCAUGAAACACGAAAUCGUGAAACUGAUUUCAUAGGGCUUUUUCCCAAUUCUAGUGGCCUGCAUAAUGAGUAAUUAUUUAUAUUUUCCAGUAUGAAAGUCCUGGUCUGUUAUAUUUGUGUUGAGGGUGGUAGCUGUAUUUAAGAAAGCUCUGGCAUAAGAAUACAAUUUGGGAAAGAUCAUAUUAUCCCAGAUUUUUCAGAAUGUAUUUCUAUAAAAAUCUCUUUGCCAAGUGUAAGAUGAUUAAUACGAUUAAUGUAAUGCUGAUAAAUUCAAGAGAUCGGUAUCCUCAAAGGUUCAAUAGUAACUAUUUUCUGUGGCUAGAUUGACAUAUGAUCUUGUGUAGUUCAGCUGGAGCAUUCCACAAUCUGGGAGAUACUUCCAAUAAAACCAAAAAAUCCUGGGAGCUUGUUUAUUGAAGAAUCGGUGUUAUAACUGCUUCUCUGUCGUGUGUUAACAUUUCUAUAAAUACUUCCCGGUCUCAAAACUACUGUUAAAUGUGCAUUUCCUUUUUUCUCAGUUUCUUCAGUCAUCACUUUCGUUGAAAGAUAACACGCAAGUCUCUGAAGGAUUUUUGAUUUGUUAUAAAUAAAGGAAUUCAAAAGUAAAAUGUUGCACUUCAUAGUUUUGCAGAGUGCAGCACAGUUCUGGAAGGAAAUGUAAAUGAAAAAGCUCUACUCUGUAUGAGAAAGAAACAUUAUACUUUUAUAACUGCCUCCUGUAAAAUGGGAAUGUAACAGUGCUAAUGAAAAGUAAAAAUUGCUUGUAGGCUUUGUGAUUUGCCUAGAGGUAGGUGUUGCUGUCUUCUGAUGCUAUAGUUGUAACCUACAGUUGUGCCUUACUGUCCCGGUGAGACUGGAUGUUGUAUUUAUCAAUCCAUAAAUAAACCUUCACUGUAUAAACAAAAACCAAAACCAAACCAUCCCCCAGCUCUUCCUGUAGGGCAACCAACUAUCCUUUAAUUACUGGAUAAAGCUAAAUACCAGUAAAAGAAUGGUGCUAGCAGGUUUUACAGAUCAGUUUCCUAUAACUGAUAGAGUGUUAUUUAUUUUCAGAGAUUGAUAAUCCUUUAUUCUGCUGGCAAAACAUGAGCUGCAGAAGAGGACACAAAGGCUCGUUUGUGACAUUUGUUCCUACAAGCUCCCACCUCAGAUAUUUUUGCUAAUGCGCUUGAAGGUGAACACAAAUGGUCUAACAGAUGUACUGCAAAAAAAAAAAACCUCAUAACACAAUCGAUCAAAGAACAACCAACCUUCCUACAAUAAAAAAAAAGAUUCUCAACUAUCAGAAUCUAACUUUGCCAUUAGCAGAAUAAAUCGCAUGCAAAUAAAUAUCUUACUCAAUAUUCUGAAAACUGUAUAUAUAACAUGCAGUUUAAAAGGUGGUGGACAGAAAGUGGUGUUUUAGAGACUGAGAUCUUAAAUUUGUUAAAUUUAACUAAGCUGUACAGAUACAAGCAGAUUUCCACUAAAGUAGUAUUUUUACCAUACCUGGUUGCUUAUAAAAGUAUUUUGUCUUGAGAAAGGUCAUCUUGAAGGUGAACAUGAUGGCAGCUCAGAGAUGGAGCUGCUUAAUAUUUCAUCUUUGUCUGUUGAAAAAGUAGUACAAGGGACAGGAUUUUAAAUAGAGAUGAGCCAUUCUCCAGUCUUCUGAGGGAUAGUCUCUUCAAAUCUGCAGCCAUGAGUUGAUGUUGAGACUGGCUGGAGGCUUGACUGCCGAAAUGUGUGGGUGCAAGAGGUUACCAGAGUAUUGUGAAGAAAGCAGAAAUAGGUUUGAUAUCUAAAUCAGUACUGAAACCUGUAGGCCCCUUAGCUUGGCAACAAAUAGGAAAAGAAAAGAAUCCAAAUACAGGAUUUGACUCAUGAAGAGCAGGGGUAAAAAUUAUGUUCUGUAACUGUACAAUGGAACAUAAAAACCUGCUUUUGCUUCUUUGAAUCUGGAGCUUUGGUUGUAAAUAGAAUGUGGGUAUAAUACUGGAGUUAGCAAAAGCGGUUCAUUGCAGGCUGCUCUAAAACGUGACGCGGCAGAAAAGCGUUGUAUUAAAUGUUUGAACACACGUGUAAAGAUUUGGAGUGAAAUAGUUUGUAGCAAUCUGGGAUGAAUCAUGGUGAGACGGGGGUGUUUCUCGACAGUUUUCUGAAUGGGUACGUACUCCUCUUCACACUCUUCAAUGCAUCCACCCAUCAGCUAGAAGUGCAAAAUUACCGCUGCUAAAAAAAAAUUAUUAAAAAAAAAAAAAAGGCAGAUGACAGAAACCCGGCCGAAUGACUGAAGGCAGAAGGACUGAAGGCCGCCUUUGGGAGCAACCACGAUGCUCGGUGAGCUCAGCAGGUGCUGUAGGGCCGCCGGACCGGGACCCUCCCCGGCCGGCUGUGCGGGCGGGUGCUCAGCCCGGCCGCCCUUGCGGAGCGGCCCCUUUAAAUCCCCGUGGAGGUCACCGCAGGACUCGCCCCGGGCCAGUCCCGCUCGCGCCGCCCGAGCCAAUCCCUUCGCUGUGCCCUGCCCGGGGCCAAUCCGAGCGGGCCGCCUUGGAGGCGGGAGGCCAGUCCCCUGAUGGACGGCGCCGCUGGCCAAUCGCCGCCAAUACCGGAGGGCUGAUGCACGGGCACGGCACCCAAUAGGCUCGCGGUCGAGUGGGCGGGCCCGGGCGCAGCGAGCCCCCGCCGGGAGGCCGGGGGAAGGAGGGGAAGAUGGCGGAGUGAGGGGCGGAGGAGGCGGAGUGGCCGGGCCGGCCGCGGCCCCGCGGCUUCGGCCGCGCUCAGCUCAUUGAAGAGGAUGUGGAAUGAUCAAAAAUAAUGCUCUCCAGGUCUGUUUUUCCGCAUCUUCAUAAGAAUAAGACUUUCCCAACAGUCUGAGUGUCGAUGGUCAACAAUGAUCAGCUGAAAUAUUUGAGUGACUCAAGAGAGAUAUCGAUAGUGACAUGUACUAUAUUUCCAUUUUCACGGUCUACUCACUGCUUCUAAUGUAGGAGCUGAAAAUUGUCACUGGAAGAUUAUUUCUGGACUUGAUCGACGGAAUGGUUAAGAGAUCCUUUCCUAAGAAGGUGGUCUUCUUACUUGCUCAAAGGCUAUGAAAUGUGGAUGUUUCUCUUCUAGCAAGCAAAACCCGUCCUUCAUUUCCAUGGAGCUGAAUGAACAAAGGUCUGUCCACUUCUGUUUGAAUCAUCUCACCAAACAUUUGAUUCACCAGAUGACUUCUCCCACAGAAGCAGCCCACUGUUUUAUCAAAACUCAGAAGCAGAGUAACAGAAAUCAACAUUUGUUUUCCUAAAAAAAUGUCUUCUGUGCCAGCUCUUCAUUCAGCUUUCUGCAUUCCGUUUUAAAAUGAAAAAUACUUUGUAAUCAGAUGCAAGCGGAAGCUGGUGUUUUUCACUGGUAUUUCCUUCUUAAUUUUAGGAAGGUUAAGUACUUUGCUGUGUCAAAUUGGAAUUCCUAGCAGACAAAGCGUCUACAUGCAUUGCUGUGUCAGACUGACCUGAUAUAUAUGAAAAGUUGCAGCAGGAAAACCAGAAUGUUUUCUGCUCUGACAUGAGGAAGAAGCUUACCAAACAACUAGGGGCAUCUCAUACAGGUAUUUUCCAGUCCAGGUCCCAGGCCUGACUUUGUAGAUAGGUGUGAACUCACAUAACGCAGCUAAUGCACAAGAACAAAUACAGAAUCACCUUGUCCAUACUGUGUGUCCCAGGCUGUGAUCAAAAUGUGUAUUUGCAUGUGUGGACCUCUGUAAGUGCAGGAUAUGAAGAGCUUUCACCUGAAGAAGAAAUUACUCUGCAUCAUUUCAUUUUUAGCAAAGAAAAAAGAAGCUUUGAAGGCCUCUGGGGUAACAGGAUAAUGACUAGAUUUGCAUUAUAUCAUUACCUUCCUCAGGCUUUUAAUGAAUCCUUAGCAUCAAAAGGAACAAGACCAUUCUACAGUAGAAGAGAUGGGCAGAACAUCUUUCUUUAUUAUAGAAAUUAACUUCUGAUGGGAUUGAAGAGACCAGAGCUGUAAAGUUGCAGUUUCUCUACCUGGCUUCCUCAACACAAUUUCAGCUUUUCCUACUGCUGAUGAAAUCUCAUUUUUUGAUUCUUUGAUGCCUGAGAGGACCUGUAUGUUUCCUCCAUCUAGGUAGAAAUAGGCCCAAGAAAAUGGAAUGUUAGCCACGUAAGAGGGGUGAGUUGAGAGCAGAAAUACCUAGUUCAGUCCUUUUUCUGGCUCUUCUUAUUCCUUCCCAAACUAAGGCACAAUCUGGUUGUUCUCAUGUUUACACAAGAUUCUUUGUCUAUGUAAUUUGUGAUUAUAUAGGAUUUUUUCUGUCAUUCUGGGAUGGGAGCAUAUAUUGUUUACGUGCUCCCUACUAUGGGAUUAUCUAUAACAAGUAAGAUUUUUGGCAAAAAACUACCAGAACUGGGAUAUGUAUUAUAUUCCACCUCAAAACUGAAACUCUUUUUAGUGCACCUUAUUCCAAGCUUGUGAUUUAGAAAUGUGGCUUGCUAGCUUAAAGUAUGGGAGAUACUAAAAUGGUUGGGGAAGUGUUCUAGAUUUCUUGUUCUAUUUUUCCUUUUAGAAAACUGCUGGAGAGAGCCAGACAGCGUGAAAGUAGCUGAAAAAGCAAACAAUUGAAAUCCUUCUUAAAUCUUGGUGAUUGAUUGCCAGGGCAGCAUUCUAGUAUCAAAAAUGUGGUGACAUUUUAUGGGACCAAGUUCCAUAGUAGAGUGAGGACAAGUGUUGAUGUUGAUCCUAAUUGUCCAAGUAAUGUCUGUGUUUAGACUUGUUUUGUAACAAUAGGAUUUAAUGACAGCUUUACCCGUUUUGUGUUUCCAUGAAGCAAAGAGCAGACACGUAAGCUUAAAGAGUGGUGGGCAGGGCGCUGCAUAUCAAGUAAUGCCAACUUUAAUGAGCAGAGAGGUGCUCUAAAAUGGUGUGUAACAUUGUGGUGAGCUGUGUGAUAAGAGUUAACAUUGAGCUUGAUGAGGCAACCACCAGCUUGGCCUGACUUUGCUGAAUAUGGUCUGAACUUUCUGGCAUUGGAGGCAGCUAAAAAAGCGCACUUUGUUUUAGGGCCUCCUUAUGUUGAAGUCAAUAGGAUUUAAUGGAGAUGUCUGUAGAAGCAGGAUCCAUCUCUAAGUGAUGGAAAAUACUGUCAAUAUCGUAGGAUUACAGUGGUUGGGAAGUAUGUGGUAUAAGAAAUGUCUGAUUUUAGAUCUGGGAAUUUUCUUCCUUCUGCCCAUACUUACCCCUCUGAUGUUAGAGAUAGCAAUUGUUUCUUGCACAGCUUGAUGACAAGACCAGAAGGUAUUUUUGUUUUCUGUGGACAUGUACGAAAAUUGCAAAUUUGCCUGACUAGAGAGCUGAUAAUCUAAGCUCCUUAAACUCAUUAUUUUGUAACCUGGCAUUGUAACAAAAAAGUAGAAUGACUGAUUUUUUUCCUAACUCCUAUUCAUGACAGUGUAGCAGCAUUAGUUUUUGAGUUUAAUUUUAGAACAUCAGGAUUUUAUUAGAUAAAGGAUCUGCGGCUUUCACAGAAGUAAUACUCCAAUAGUGCAUGCCCAGAAGACCCCCUUUGGUGUACCUUCCUGGCCAGCACCUUUAAAGAGCUGCUGUGUUUGGAAAUGCUGCUUCAUCUGACUCACUCUUCCUUGCUCCGCUUUUUCUUUGUGUUGGUUGGAAAUCUUCCCAUGUGAAAGAUUACAAAAACAAGGGGCAUGUGCAAUAGCUCAUAUAUAUAUAUAUACAUAUAUAUAUUUUAAUACUUGUGGACAAAAUGAUGUUACAAGUUGUUUGAAAACAACAAAAUCACCAAUGUCUUCCAUUUUGAGAUGUGUAUAGUUCCAUAAGCAUUAGUGCUUUGUAGCAAACUGUAGUGCCAUGUUAGGACCAGUGCAUGAGCCUAGUAGUAUUUUUACAAUUUCUGAGUGACAAAUUUAUUAGUAAACAGUGAUGAUAAUGUAAUUAACACUAGAAAGGAUACAAUAGGAAUGUCACAAACAUGGUCUAAACAUGCAGUAUCCUCCCUUUGACAAUGGCAAUGCUAUCCUUAGAAAUGGAACUCAUUCACUUAAUGGGCUUCAUAGAAUCAUAGUUGACUUUUUGAUAUUUGUCUGUCUGUCCAACUGCAGUAGUAAGCUAGAGUAUGCAAGUAUCCAUAAUUCUCAUCCCUAUCGGCGUGAUUCUUUUCUUUUAAAGCUUUGUUGUUUUCUUCCAUUUUCAGUUUUAUUGAACCAUCCAUUACCCAUCCUGUGAUAUACUCACAAAAGUAUGAAUAUGCUAAGGAGUUUGUGUGCAUUGUGUACACAUCUCUUACCUUCAGAUAAUUUACAAAGUCUGUUAAGUAAUCUUGUCUUUUUUUCACCUCUGACUCUAUGAUUGUUAUAGCUAGCAAAACAUUAUCCUCAUUGUGUGAUAAGUUAAUAGUUGCAAAAUGUGAUGUGCUCAUUAUGCAUAGAAGACUUUCCUCCAUUACUGCAGGAAUGGGGAACCUUUUUUGGCUGAAAUCCUAUUGAAUCUUAAAAUAACUUUGGUGGAUCCUGCAUUUACAUACAUCUUAAUAAGAGAGAAUACGUUAAGGUCAAAGGCUGUUGGAAAAGGAUGUUGCAGGCUGUAUCUGUGCAGCAGGCUGUCUCUAGCCAAUGGAUCAGAGAUUCCCCACCCCUGUAUUAUUGAGAAUUCAGUAUCUUCUGUUUUAGGUAACUUCCAGUUUUGCUUUCCAGCUCUAAGCUCAAUUUUAAUGAUUUCUGUCUCUCCCUCUGCUUUUUUCAGAAGGAAAGUUUAGACCAGGGAAGUAAAAUUGAUUUAGCACUCAAUGGACAGCUUGGACUGGUCGAAUAGGAGACUGGUAUGAUUCUUGAGAUGUGCAUUGCUCUGUGGAUGGCAUCCUCUGAUUUCCUAGGAAUAAGUCUUUUAUUUGAUGCCAGUGCUGCUCUUCACCCAUUUCUCUCUUUCAGCUUAGAGAGGAUACUGCAUCUUUUUUUCCUGAGACCUGCCUGUAAAUGGCCAUUAGGGGGAGGGAGGGAAUGGGUAGCUUGGUUUUGUAAUUUUGGUACGAUAUAUCUUUAAAGUAAUUAAUCAAGAAGCAUGUACUUCCGUGCAAUGACAGUAAUCCAGGCAGAGUUAAUGUAUGUAACAGGGAAAAAAAACCCCAACAAAACCAACCAAACAACCCUCUGCAUCUAAUAAAUUUCUGAGAAAAUUGGACAGGUGGGCCAUUUACAGCAGAGCUCUGGGGGACCUGUGCUAAGAGUCAGGUUCAAUUCUAAAUGGACAUAGCUGUACCAUUGAAUAAAGUAGUUUAGUGCUUGGGAGAAUCAAUUGAAAAAUACCUCUGAAACUGGAAUGCAAAAUAGCACAGUAUGUAGGGGGAAGAAUCCCUGAUGCAAACAAAGCCAUAAGAUGAUUUAAUAAGAAAAUAGAACUUUAGUAGCAAUAACUGUUUUGCAUGUGAUAGUAAAUAACUUGCAUUAGCAAGACUGUACAGUAGAGUAAGUGGGUAAUAACCAAAUAAGUUUGUGGCGCUCUGUGCUGCAGGGAGUUGUGUGAAGAGUCUUCCUGAGAAGAAAGGUGAAUUCUUCUUAUGUUCCUCUCAUUGGAGGGAAUUUGGCACUUGAAUACUAAGUUAAUGAACUUGAUAUAUAUAUAUUAAAAAAAGAAAAGAAAAAUUAGCUUUGCCACAAGUCUGAAGCACUGUCAGUGAGUGCUGGGGGAAGGGCAGACAGUUCUCUUUGAAAGGAUAGCUGAAGUUUUUCUUUCUCUGUAGCCUAGUACUUGCUGUAUUUCUCUGAGAAACUAAACUUUUCCAAAUACUGUACUGUGAAGAGAACCUGAUUCUAAAGUGAGAAGUUUUUGUGGUGGGAAGUGAUUUUUGUUUUCUUUCUUUAUCAAGACCAAUCUGAGGUAGUCUUUAAAUAAAAAAAACCUCAAAACAUUAGAGAGCACUUGACCCUCAAAACAUUUGUGCAUGCCACGCACAACUGUAGAAGUCUAAAGAUGCUACAGCAGAAAAUAAUUUCAGCUUUGCUAAACACUGUUUCAGACCACAAUUGAUUUCAGUUGAUGCCUGAAGUUUUGCAGAGGAAAGUACUGUGAAGCCUCUGGUAACACAAAGGGUUAUUGAUCUUCACCUGUAGAUCUGCAUCCAAAAAAUUAUUUGCCAUCAAAGGGUUGCAUAAAAGAGCCACAGGAGUUCUAAACUGUUCCUAGUUGACACUUUUCAGUGUAGAUACCUCAUCAAUGGACACAGUGAGCCCCAACAUAUAGUAGUGUAUUCUGAACAGAAUCAGAUCAGUCUGGCUGCAUUUCUUCUGCAAAGCUGAAGUAAUUUAGUCUGUUAAGCUUUCAGCUUAAUGGAAGCUUCUUGUGUUUUUAAAGCAUGGGGGUGAAGCACUUUGGUUCUUCAUAAACGGACAGUGGAACUGUGAGGGCUGUGAGCAUUUUUGCAGUAUAAAGUAACAGGAUAAGCAUGAGACUGUCUAAAUUAAGUGUUGGCUAAUAUGUAAUAUGCUUAUGAAAACUAAUUGAUCUGAAAGAUUAUAAUCAGCUUAAAUUCCAACUGUUGAUUUUUUGAUAAAAUUGGAAGCUGGCCAUAGGGGACCUUCAUUUGAUUGCUCUCUGAUUGCAUUAGAUAAAUUAUGAAAUCUGUGAUCAGCAAGUACAUUUACAUAAUAAUGAAAUUAUAAUGAAAACAAAGUCAUAUUCAUGCUUCAGAAGUAUGAACUUUGUGGCUGAACAGAAUUCUUCAAGGGUAUAUCCACUCAGAACAGAGGGGAGGAAAUAAAGACUGAUGUAGCCAGGCAAGCUAUCUACAUAUAUUUCCCAGUUCAGGCUUUUAGUAAGGAUCUGAAUUCUGUGGGUUGCUGACUAGGAAUUACUAUUCACAGCAAGAAAAGAAAUCCCUUUGCCUUUCAGCUCUUGUACUAUGGCAUGACUUUUGCUUCAACCUCCUUGCUUUAACAGCUUCUAAACUGAAGUGGAAGUGUCAGGUGCUACCACUCUUGAGUGUGGUAUAUCAAAAGGUAUAAUGACCAGUAUGGACAUGCCUCCUUUAGCAGUACUAAACGCAGAUGAUACAAAUAUGUUCUGUUUGUAUAUCCAGUAGUGCUGCUGCAGAAGGUCUAGCCAGUACUUGUGUUGGGAAUUGUACCUUCUGAAACUGAGGGUAUUUGUCAAAUUUAUAGAAAAAAUAAAGUCUUGCAAAGACUUCUUGAUAGUAAGUCGGAAGAAAUUGUACUGAGCUUGAGGAUACUGACACUUCACAUGAGGAUUACAUUGUCAGGAACUGGCAGUCUGGCUUUUUGGGGGGCAGAAAAGGAAAAAAUAUUGAAGAUAGAACUAUUUUUGAUGUAUAACAAAUCUUAGAAAUUAGUGCUUCUUGCAUCCUUAGGAAACUGGCUGGUCUUCCUCCAAAACUAAUAUUCCUGCUUGCUGAUCAGGUACAGAGCUUCAAAAUGACAAUUCAAGUUAGAUUCCAUUGGAUUUCUUUCAUGGAACGAUCCAGCAUUUUGCCCCUGUAGCACUUUGACUGGCGCACAAAAGCCAACAGUUGAAUCAGGGUGUCUUGUUCAACAGUGCAGAGCACUAACCAUGGUUUCUGAUGUCUGUUCCCUUUCAAUCUCUACACUUCCUCCUGCAUUUUAGAGAAAGUGUCAGUGUUCAUGAUGUCAGCAGAGCAUAUUUCUGUCUCUGAGCCUAUGUACCGGGUUAUAAUACAGACAAACUUGCAAGACUUUUACCCCAUCUAAAGUUAAAGACAGAAGGUAACUUUCUGUUCAGUGUGUCCUAUGUAAAUCCUGUCUGCUUCUCUCCACUUCCCCUCCAAAUGAGUGUGUUUGCAGGUCAAAUAAAAGGCAGGUAGUUUGUAAUGCCUUAGGCAUGAAGAACUGCAUGGAGAAACUGAAGGAAAGCGGCACAGGCCCACAAACCAAAUCUUAGAGCUAGUAUUCUAAUUAUGCAUGAUUCAAAAUGUCUAGUGUAAUGUAGUUAUUACCAGUAAAUUGAGAUAUGCAUUUAUACAUAAUGAAGCAAUAGGAAUUAAUAUACCAAUAGCUUGAACUUCCUGCUUUGAUUUUGGGUUUUUUUAGAGAAUGUGCUGCCUCUGUAGAGAAGGGGGCAGAAUGUAUAGAUAGGGACAGAAGCAUGGCACCAAAACUGUAAAUCGGGAACCGGAAUCAGCAGAACUCGCCUUUAUAACCUCUAGUCUGGUUCAUAUCACUGUCCUGAGCAUGUAAACAGCAGGGCAUGAACUAAGCAUGUUUAGAGGCGAGAUGAGGUUUCUCACCUGCUGCAGCUGUAGCAAGGAAAAGGGUGCAGAGUUUCUUACAUGGUGCAGGGGAGCGACUGGUGGGAAGGAAAAAAAUCAAACCCACAAAAAAAUCACCCCAAAACCCAAGCUGACAAAUGAGUAACAGGAACCACAGACUCAAAUUGAGUGUAGUAUUUGCCAGACAGUAGGUAAUAAGCUUGAGUGUGGUGAGAGAAAUUAUUUGGAGAAUACUGAAAUUAAUAAGCACAGUACAUAUUUUUCAGGUGUUGAAUAGCUUUUUAAGAGACAGUAUUUUCAGGUAACUCUAGCCACAUAGGCAGCUGUACUGAAGCAUACUGGUACCAGCCAGCAAUAAUGGCAUCUGCAGGAAUGAACCUGAAAAUACUGGUAACCUUGUAUAUUUUUUAAGUUCUUUAAAGAGAUUUUUAAAAACAGAAAAUGAGAUUUGAUCACUGAAGGUCUUUAUCUUCUGCAACAGAGGUUGCAAUUGUCUUUUUUUCUUUAUUUCACUUACUAGAUAAAAGGGAAUUUGGGUGCCAUCUUUCUGUAAACUCUUAGUGUGUUCUCUGUAAUUCAAGUCUCUUAGUGGAUAAUACAGUCAAUUUCUGCUGGCAGUUUGAAAAUAAGAGAAUAUGUGGCAUAGCCUACAUCUCUAAUACUUUUCCAAGUUUAAACUUGUAAUUAAACAUAUAGAAUACUGGCUUGUAAUUGCAGAAUUCCAUACUUGUAGCUUAGCUUAAUUUUGUAAGUGGGCUUAACUUGUGCAGAACACUUCUCCAUGUACAGAGGCUCAGUCCUCUCUAAGUAGAAAGAAGUGUCUUGGAGGAAGAAAAGGUGUGUCAAGUUAACUCCUGUUCAUACUUCGUAGCCAACCAUUCAUAAAGCACUGUGUUUUGGGUUUAGAAUGGGAAGUGUGGUUUUACCUAUGAAUGCUCUUUUUAAAUAUGUAAGGAUUGCCAAAUGAAGAUAUGAAUAUUAGAAGAUAACUAUUCCAUGGUAUCAAAAGUUGGAUUGAAUGAAAGUCUUUGAGCCAACUUCUUCAAGAAACAAGAAAAUUUCUAAGGCAAAGUUAGCCCAGUGGUUAACCAUGGUAACUUUUAAUUCUUUAGAACACUAUGCAUGGUUUUAAAGUCUGUUAAGUAUUGUAAUGAGUAAGCCAUUGUAUUCUUUGUAUUUCCCUUCAGUAUAACUUGGGGAAAAGCUACUUCAGAAUAUCAGUGAAGUUAUUUUCCUUUUGAAAAAUAUAACAGCAAAGGAAAAAUAUUAGGUAUAAAUUCCUAAAAAUUACCUUAGUACUUAAUAGGCUAAAGAAUACUUAUACUGAACUUCUGAUAGCAUUCUUGCAUGGAUUAGUGGAGGAAAUUAUUGGUGUGACUACAGACUAUGUACUCCCAUUGCACACGUUUUACAUGGUAACAGUGAAAGAAUGUCUCCCUGCAAAUUCUGAUUUUCUCCAAAAGGCAGCUUGCUUUUAUAUCUAUGCAUCUUUGAGGAUUUCAAGAUAAGAUUUUAUUCUUUUGACACUGUAAAGAGGAACUGUUUAAAAAUGAACCUGGAAACUCUGCACCUGUAUACAAACUUUUUUAGCAAUAAAGCAGCACAGGCUGAGAAUGCA